UACGUAGGGGGCAAGCGUUGUCCGGAUUUAUUGGGCGUAAAGAGCGUGUAGGCGGCCAGACAGGUCAGCUGUGAAAACUCGAGGCUCAACCUCGAGACGUCGGUUGAAACCGUCUGGCUAGAGUCCGGAAGAGGAGAGUGGAAUUCCCGGUGUAGCGGUGAAAUGCGCAGAUAUCGGGGAAGAACACCCCGUGGCGAAGGCGGCUCUCUGGGACGGUACUGACGCUGAGACGCGAAAGCGUGGGGAGCGAACAGG
rnacentral:rRNA from 1 species